UACGUAGGGCGCGAGCGUUGUCCGGAAUUAUUGGGCGUAAAGGGCUUGUAGGCGGUUUGUCGCGUCUGCCGUGAAAUUCCCUGGCUUAACUGGGGGCGUGCGGUGGGUACGGGCAGGCUUGAGUGCAGAAGAGGAGAGUGGAAUUCCAUGUGUAGCGGUGAAAUGCGUAGAUAUAUGGAGGAACACCAGUGGCGAAGGCGGAUUACUGGACGACAACUGACGGUGAGGCUCGAAAGCGUGGGGAGCAAAC
rnacentral:rRNA from 1 species